rnacentral:rRNA from 1 species
AGUGAACGCUGGCGGCGUGGUUAACACAUGCAAGUCGAACGAGAACGGAUUAUAGCUUGCUAUAAUUGUCAGCUAAGUGGCGCACGGGUGAGUAAUGUAUAGGUAAUAUGCCUCUGACUAGGGGCUAACAAAUGGAAACGUUUGCUAAUACCUUAUACUCCUUAUUAACAUCAGUUAAUCAGGGAAAGAUUUAUUGGUAAGAGAUUAGCCUGUAUUGCAUCAGUUAGUUGGUGGGGUAAUGGCUUACCAAGACUAUGACACAUAACUGGUUUGGGAGGAUGAUCAGUCACACUGGAACUGAGACACGGUCCGGACUCCUACGGGAGGCAGCGGUGGGGAAUAUUGCACAAUGGACGAAAGUCUGAUGCAGCAACGCCGCGUGGAGGAUGACACAUUUCGGUGCGUAAACUCCUUUUAUAUGAGAAGAUAAUGACGGUAUUAUAUGAAUAAGCACCGGCUAACUCCGUGCCAGCAGCCGCAGUAA